AUUGAACGCUGGCGGCAUGCCUUACACAUGCAAGUCGAACGGCAGCACGGGAGCAAUCCUGGUGGCGAGUGGCGAACGGGUGAGUAAUAUAUCGGAACGUGCCCAGUCGUGGGGGAUAACGCAGCGAAAGCUGUGCUAAUACCGCAUACGAUCUACGGAUGAAAGCGGGGGAUCGCAAGACCUCGCGCGAUUGGAGCGGCCGAUAUCAGAUUAGCUAGUUGGUGAGGUAAAGGCUCACCAAGGCGACGAUCUGUAGCUGGUCUGAGAGGACGACCAGCCACACUGGAACUGAGACACGGUCCAGACUCCUACGGGAGGCAGCAGUGGGGAAUUUUGGACAAUGGGCGCAAGCCUGAUCCAGCAAUGCCGCGUGCAGGAUGAAGGCCUUCGGGUUGUAAACUGCUUUUGUACGGAACGAAACGGUGAGCUCUAAAACAGUUUGCUAAUGACGGUACCGUAAGAAUAAGCACCGGCUAACUACGUGCCAGCCGCCGCGGUAACAC
rnacentral:rRNA from 1 species